rnacentral:rRNA from 1 species
AUUGAACGCUGGCGGCAUGCCUUACACAUGCAAGUCGAACGGUAACAGGUUAAGCUGACGAGUGGCGAACGGGUGAGUAAUAUAUCGGAACGCGCCCAGUCGUGGGGGAUAACGUAGCGAAAGCUACGCUAAUACCGCAUACGAUCUACGGAUGAAAGCGGGGGAUCGCAAGACCUCGCGCGAUUGGAGCGGCCGAUAUCGGAUUAGGUUGUUGGUGAGGUAAAGGCUCACCAAGCCUGCGAUCUGUAGCUGGUCUGAGAGGACGACCAGCCACACUGGAACUGAGACACGGUCCAGACUCCUACGGGAGGCAGCAGUGGGGAAUUUUGGACAAUGGACGCAAGUCUGAUCCAGCAAUGCCGCGUGCAGGACGAAGGCCUUCGGGUUGUAAACUGCUUUUGUACGGAACGAAACGGCGAGCUCUAAUACAGUUUGCUAAUGACGGUACCGUAAGAAUAAGCACCGGCUAACUACGUGCCAGCCGCCGCGGUAA